UACGGGGGGGGCAAGCGUUGUUCGGAAUUACUGGGCGUAAAGGGCGCGUAGGCGGCGUAACAAGUCACUUGUGAAAUCCCCCGGGCUCAACCCGGGAACUGCGUCCGAUACUGGCAGGCUUGAAUUCGGGAGAGGGAUGCGGAAUUCCAGGUGUAGCGGUGAAAUUCGUAGAUAUCGGGAGGAACACCGGCGGCGAAGGCGGCGACCUGGGUAGAUACGUGACGCUGAGGUGCGAAAGCGUGGGGAGCAAACAGG
rnacentral:rRNA from 1 species